UUAAGUAAUUAUAAAAUACCUGUGUGUUAAACUAUUUACUUUACCCUAUUUUACCAGAAUCGUCUCAAUUUUUUUUAAACAAUUUAACAUUAGUUUUAACUAUUUUUUUAGUUGUAUUUUAAAUUCUGUAUUAACAGAUUAUGUUUUAUGUUUAGUGUACUCAUUUAUAAUCUUAGAUGUUUUAUAUUACUUAUCAAAACAUAACGACAAUGGUGCUAUGAUUUUAUGUUCAAUCUUUUAUUGAUUAAAUUUUUUAACUUUGUAUUUGUAUUUUCUAGGUGAUAAACUUGGAAGAGUUGUUCAUAUUAUUCAGUCAAGAGAGCCAUCAUUAAAAGAUUCUAACCCAGAUGAAAUAGAAAUAGAUUUUGAAACAUUAAAGCCAUCAACCUUACGAGAACUUGAAUCAUAUGUUGCUUCAUGUUUACGAAAGAAACCUCGAAAACCUUACACUACAAAAAAUAAAGUUGCUGGCAAAUCUAGAGAAGAGCAUAUGCGUGAGAAAAAGCAAGAGCUUGAGAAACGUUUGCAAGAUGUUAGUGGCCAGUUGGGCCAACCUACUAA